GAAAGAAACUAACAAGGAUUCCCCUAGUAACUGCGAGUGAAGCGGGAAAAGCUCAAAUUUAAAAUCUGGUAGUCUCUGGCUGCCCGAGUUGUAAUCUAGAGAAGUGUUAUCCGCGUUGGACCGUGUACAAGUCUCCUGGAAUGGAGCGUCAUAGAGGGUGAGAAUCCCGUCUUUGACACGGACUACCAGUGCUUUGUGAUACGCUCUCAAAGAGUCGAGUUGUUUGGGAAUGCAGCUCAAAAUGGGUGGUAAAUUCCAUCUAAAGCUAAAUAUUGGCGAGAGACCGAUAGCGAACAAGUACCGUGAGGGAAAGAUGAAAAGAACUUUGGAAAGAGAGUUAAACAGUACGUGAAAUUGCUGAAAGGGAAACGCUUGAAGUCAGUCGCGUUGUUUGGAGAUCAACCUUGCUUUUGCUGGGUGUACUUUCCAGAUGACGGGUCAGCAUCAAUUUUGACCGUUGGAUAAAGUUCAGGGAAAUGUGGCAUCAUUUUUGGUGUGUUAUAGUCUCUGUUCGUAUACAACGGUUGGGAUUGAGGAACUCAGUACGCCGCAAGGCCGAGAAUUUAUUCUACGUUCGUACUUAGGAUGCUGGCAUAAUGGCUUUAAUCGACCCGUCUUGAAACACGGACCAAGGAGUCUAACAUGCCUGCGAGUGUUUNGGGUGGAAAACCCGAGCGCGUAAUGAAAGUGAAAGUUGAGAUCCCUGUCGUGGGGAGCAUCGACGCCCGGACCAGACCUUUUGUGACGGAUCUGCGGUAGAGCAUGUAUGUUGGGACCCGAAAGAUGGUGAACUAUGCCUGAAUAGGGUGAAGCCAGAGGAAACUCUGGUGGAGGCUCGUAGCGAUUCUGACGUGCAAAUCGAUCGUCAAAUUUGGGUAUAGGGGGCGAAAGACUAAUCGAACCAUCUAGUAGCUG
rnacentral:rRNA from 1 species